GGGGCUGUGGCUCAGUGGUAGAGCGCUUGCUUAGCACGUGUGAGGCACUGGGUUCGAUCCUCAGCACCA
rfam:Ictidomys tridecemlineatus contig081741, whole genome shotgun sequence.